GCUGUGCCCACUGGGCCACGCUUCUCCUCUCAGUGCGCAGGAACCAAUCACUGUGCAGCAGCUCCUCCUCCCUGACUGGGCGGGUCUCCACUCCUGAGUGCCUCGGGCAGUUUCUUGUGUCUAGUCACCUCGCCACUGGCCCCGUUCACAGGUGACGCUCACCACAAUACUGGUUACGCGCCAGGUCUGCUGCUCACGGGAGCCCUAUUUUCUUGAACAACUGGGCACACUCUCCCUGCUUGCCAAACCCUCAGCCCCUAAGGUUGUGGAGCUUGGGGCUGAGAGCCCUCGGCGUAUUUUGCUUGCCCUCUGGUAGCCACGCCCCCGGGAGCUGGUGCAAGAGACCUCAGUUGUCUGCGCUUGUGGGAGCGGUAGCCGGGGGUCCCACGCCACUCCUGAAUCCCUCGGUCUUGAC
rnacentral:lncRNA from 1 species